rnacentral:rRNA from 1 species
UACCAGACUCCUACGGGAGGCAGCAGUGGGGGAUAUUGCACAAUGGGCGCAAGCCUGAUGCAGCGACGCCGCGUGAGCGAAGAAGUAUUUCGGUAUGUAAAGCCCUGUCAGCAGGGAAGAAAAUGACGGUACCUGAAGAAGAAGCCCCGGCUAACUACGUGCCAGCAGCCGCGGUAAUACGUAGGGGGCAAGCGUUAUCCGGAUUUACUGGGUGUAAAGGGGGCGCAGACGGCGAUGCAAGCCAGGGGUGAAAGCCCGGGGCCCAACCCCGGGACUGCCCUUGGAACUGCAUGGCUGGAGUGCGGGAGGGGCAGGCGGAAUUCCUGGUGUAGCGGUGAAAUGCGUAGAUAUCAGGAGGAACACCGGCGGCGAAGGCGGCCUGCUGGACCGCGACUGACGUUGAGGCUCGAAAGCGUGGGGAGCGAACAGGAUUAGAUACCCCAGUAGC